GACGAACCGUGGGAACGUUGUUCGGAAUCACUGGGCUUAAAGGGCGCGUAGGCGGGCGAUCAAGUCCGGGGUGAAAUCCUCCAGCUCAACUGGAGAACUGCCUUGGAUACUGGUCGUCUCGAGUGAGGUAGGGGCAUGCGGACCUGGUGGUGGAGCGGUGAAAUGCGUUGAUAUCAUCAGGAACUCCGGUGGCGAGGGCGGCAGGCUGGCCCUCAACUGACGCUGAGGCGCGAAAGCUAGGGGAGCAAACGGG
rnacentral:rRNA from 1 species